rnacentral:rRNA from 1 species
GAGGGGCAGCAUUUUAGUUUGCUUGCAAACUAAAGAUGGCGACCGGCGCACGGGUGAGUAACACGUAUCCAACCUGCCGAUAACUCGGGGAUAGCCUUUCGAAAGAAAGAUUAAUAUCCGAUAGUAUAUUAAAACCGCAUGGUUUUACUAUUAAAGAAUUUCGGUUAUCGAUGGGGAUGCGUUCCAUUAGUUUGUUGGCGGGGUAACGGCCCACCAAGACUACGAUGGAUAGGGGUUCUGAGAGGAAGGUCCCCCACAUUGGAACUGAGACACGGUCCAAACUCCUACGGGAGGCAGCAGUGAGGAAUAUUGGUCAAUGGACGAGAGUCUGAACCAGCCAAGUAGCGUGAAGGAUGACUGCCCUAUGGGUUGUAAACUUCUUUUAUAUGGGAAUAAAGUAUUCCACGUGUGGGAUUUUGUAUGUACCAUAUGAAUAAGGAUCGGCUAACUCCGUGCCAGCAGCCGCGGUAAUACGGAGGAUCCGAGCGUUAUCCGGAUUUAUUGGGUUUAAAGGGAGCGUAGGUGGAUUGUUAAGUCAGUUGUGAAAGUUUGCGGCUCAACCGUAAAAUUGCAGUUGAAACUGGCAGUCUUGAGUACAGUAGAGGUGGGCGGAAUUCGUGGUGUAGCGGUGAAAUGCUUAGAUAUCACGAAGACUCCGAUUGCGAAGGCAGCUCACUAGACUGCAACUGACACUGAUGCUCG